AACUGGAAAUUACAUUGUGCUUAUAGGCCCCAGAGCUCAGGACAGGUAGAAAGAAUGAAUAGAACCCUAAAAGAGACCCUUACCAAAUUAACCAUGGAGACUGGUGGGGACUGGGUGACUCUCCUACCAUACGCCCUUUACCGGUUAGAAACACCCCUUACACUCUGGGUUUUACUCCCUACAAGAUCAUGUUUGGCAGGCCACCCCCUGUUAUUCCCAGCCUUCGAGCUGAACUUAUUGCUGAGUUUAAAGAUCAAGAACUUUUUCUUUCCUUGAGAGGGCUCCAGAGGGCGCAUGAGGACAUUUGGCUGCGCCUCCGUGCCAUCUUCGAGGCUGGCCCGACCCCGACACCUCAUCGGUACAGGCUGGGAGACUGGGUCUAUGUCAAGAGGCACCACCGAGAGACCCUCGAGCCGCGCUGGAAGGGACCCUACAUCGUGGUGCUGACAACCCCCACCGCUCUCAAAGAAGACAGAUGGGAAGAGCG